CUUUAGCCUGUUCUGUAAUGUUCUCAGUUCUGUUCACACAGGCCGAGCGCCCACCACGCACCAGACCUGGCGCCAACUGCUGGCCGGGGCCACUUCCUGGAGGGUUUUCACUUUCACUCACGGUCACCUGCACCUCGGCCACUUUGCCCAAGUCCAGGAACGAAAGGACCCAGAAGGGACGACAUAUGAUGUUCCUCCAGCAAAAUGAGCAGGACAGGUCUGUGCCUCUGAUGAGACAGCCACCGUGGCAGUGUGCCGGGAGCAGGACACAGUGGGUGAGAGGAGGCGGUGCCCACCCGGGAGCGGACUGGAACCCUCUUGGGCCACCGAGCAGCAGACUCUGCGGGACAUGGGUUCGAGCCCUGGUCUGGGAGGAUCCCGCGUGCCGCGGAGCGACUGGGCCCGUGAGCCACAGCUACUGAGCCUGCGCGUCUGGAGCCUGUGCCCCGCAACAAGAGAGGCCGCGAUAAUGAAAGGCCCGCGCACCGCGAUGAAGAGUGGCCCCCGCUUGCCGCAACUAGAGAAAGCCCUCGCGCGAAACGAAGACCCAACACAGCCCAAAUAAAUAAAUAAAUAAAUAAAGUAGCUAUUAAUUAAAAAAAAAAAAUAC